rnacentral:rRNA from 1 species
GACGAACGCUGGCGGCGUGCUUAACACAUGCAAGUCGAACGGAAAGGCCCUGCUUUUGUGGGGUGCUCGAGUGGCGAACGGGUGAGUAACACGUGAGUAACCUGCCCUUGACUUUGGGAUAACUUCAGGAAACUGGGGCUAAUACCGGAUAGGAUCUCCUGCUGCAUGGUGGGGGUUGGAAAGUUUCGGCGGUUGGGGAUGGACUCGCGGCUUAUCAGCUUGUUGGUGGGGUAGUGGCUUACCAAGGCUUUGACGGGUAGCCGGCCUGAGAGGGUGACCGGACACAUUGGGACUGAGAUACGGCCCAGACUCCUACGGGAGGCAGCAGUGGGGAAUAUUGCACAAUGGGCGGAAGCCUGAUGCAGCAACGCCGCGUGCGGGAUGACGGCCUUCGGGUUGUAAACCGCUUUCGCCUGUGACGAAGCGUGAGUGACGGUAAUGGGUAAAGAAGCACCGGCUAACUACGUG